rnacentral:sRNA from 1 species
AAACGUGUGACAAUAAUGCCAAAAGAC